UGGGGAAUAUUGCACAAUGGGCGCAAGCCUGAUGCAGCCAUGCCGCGUGUGUGAAGAAGGCCUUCGGGUUGUAAAGCACUUUCAGCGGGGAGGAAGGCGUUAAGGUUAAUAACCUUGUCGAUUGACGUUACCCGCAGAAGAAGCACCGGCUAACUCCGUGCCAGCAGCCGCGGUAAUACGGAGGGUGCAAGCGUUAAUCGGAAUUACUGGGCGUAAGGCGCACGCAGGCGGUCUGUCAAGUCGGAUGUGAAAUCCCCGGGCUCAACCUGGGAACUGCAUUCGAAACUGGCAGGCUAGAGUCUUGUAGAGGGGGGUAGAAUGCCAGGUGUAGCGGUGAAAUGCGUAGAGAUCUGGAGGAAUACCGGUGGCGAAGGCGGCCCCCUGGACAAAGACUGACGCUCAGGUGCGAAAGCGUGGGGAGCAAACAGG
rnacentral:rRNA from 1 species